CACUCUUUAUCCAGUCCCUGUAGUCAUAUCACUCUCUCUCCAGUCCCCUUACUCAUACCACUCUCUCUCCCUGUAGUCAUACCACUCUCUAUCCAGUCCCUGUAGUCAUACCACUCUCUCUACAGUCCCUGUAGUCAUACCACUCUCUCUCCAGUCCCCGUAGUCAUACCACUCUCUCUCCCUGUAGUCAUAACACUCUCUCUCCCUGUAGUCAUACCACUCUCUCUCCAGUCCCUGUAGUCAUACCACUCUCUCCAGUCCCUGUAGUCAUACCAAUCUCUCUCCAGUCCCUGUAGUCAUACCACUCUCUCUCCAGUCCCUGUAGUCAUACCACUCUCUCUCCAGUCCCUGUAGUCAUACCACUCUCUCUCCAGUCCCCGUAGUCAUAACACUCUCUCUCCCCGUAGUCAUAUGACUCUCUCCAGUCCCUGUAGUCAUACCACUCUCUCUCCAGUCCGUGUAGUCACACCACUAUCUCUCUCCCUGUAGUCAUACAACUCUCUCUCCAGUCACUGUAGUCAUACCACUCUCUCUCCAGUCCCCGUAGUCAUACCACUCUCUCACUAGUCCCUGUAGUCAUACCACUCUCUCUCCAGUCCCUGUAGUCAUACCACUCUCUCUCCAGUCCCCGUAGUCAUAACACUCUCUCUCCCCGUAGUCAUAUGACUCUCUCCAGUCCCUGUAGUCAUACCACUCUCUCUCCAGUCCGUGUAGUCACACCACUAUCUCUCUCCCUGUAGUCAUACAACUCUCUCUCCAGUCCCUGUAGUCAUACCACUCUCUCUCCAGUCCCCGUAGUCAUACCACUCUCUCUCCCUGUAGUCAUAACACUCUCUCUCCCUGUAGUCAAACCACUCUCUCUCCAGUCCCUGUAGUCAUACCACUCUCUCCAGUCCCUGUAGUCAUACCAAUCUCUCUCCAGUCACUGUAGUCAUACCACUCUCUCUCCAGUCACUGUAGCCAUACCACUCUCUCUCCCCUCCCUGUAGUCAUACCACUCUCUCUCCAGUCCCUGUAGUCAUACCACUCUCUCUCCAGUCCCUGUAGUCAUACCACUCUCUCUCCAGUCCCCGUAGUCAUAACACUCUCUCUCCCCGUAGUCAUAUGACUCUCUCCAGUCCCUGUAGUCAUACCACUCUCUCUCCAGUCCGUGUAGUCACACCACUAUCUCUCUCCCUGUAGUCAUACAACUCUCUCUCCAGUCCCUGUAGUCAUACCACUCUCUCUCCAGUCCCCGUAGUCAUACCACUCUCUCACUAGUCCCUGUAGUCAUACCACUCUCUCUCCAGUCACUGUAGUCAUACCACUCUCUCUCCAGUCCCCGUAGUCAUACCACUCUCUCACUAGUCCCUGUAACAUAGCACUCUCUCUCCAGUCCCCGUAGUCAUACCACUCUCUCACUAGUCCCUGUAGUCACACCACUCUCUCUCCAGUCCCUGUAGUCAUACCACUAUCUCUCCCUGUAUCAUACCACUCUCUCUCCAGUCCCUGUAGUCAUACCACUAUCUCUCCCUGUAGUCAUAUGACUCUCUUUCCCUGUAGUCAUACCACUCUUUCUCCAGUCCCCAUUGUCAUACCACUCUCUCACUAGUCACCGUAGUCAUACCACUCUCUCCAGUCCCCGUAGUUCUACCACUCUCUCUCCAGUCCCCGUAGUCAUACCACUCUCUCUCCAGUCCCCGUAGUCAUACCACUCUCUCUCCAGUCCCCGUAGUCAUACCACUCUCUCUCCAGUCCCCAUAGUCAUACCACUCUCUCUCCAGUCCCCGUAGUCAUACCACUCUCUCUCCAGUCCCCGUAGUCAUACCACUCUCUCUCCAGUCCCCAUAGUCAUACCACUCUCUCACUAGUCCCUGUAACAUAGCACUCUCUCUCCAG
rnacentral:lncRNA from 1 species